rfam:Rhodotorula toruloides ATCC 204091 scaffold00005, whole genome shotgun sequence.
GACCAGAUGCCCGAGUGGUUAAGGGGACAGACUAGAAUGUAGCUCAGCUCCUCGCUUUAUCUGUUAGGCUUUGCCUGCGCAGGUUCAAAUCCUGCUCUGGUCG